rnacentral:pre_miRNA from 1 species
GUAAAUCUAAAAACUAGUCGGAUCGAAAAAUGGACGAAUGAGAUUCAUCCAUGUCAAUCUGAGUAAAAUUUUACUCCAAGUAAAAAUUUUAUUGCUAAUUAAAUCUAGAAGUAAAAAUUUUACUCAGGGUGGCGUGGAUAAAUCUCAUACGUCCAAUUUUUAUCCAACGGUAGUUUUCAAGUUUGC